rnacentral:rRNA from 1 species
UACGGAGGGUGCAAGCGUUAAUCGGAAUUACUGGGCGUAAAGCGCACGCAGGCGGCUUUUUAAGUCGGAUGUGAAAGCCCCGGGCUCAACCUGGGAAUUGCAUUCGAUACUGGGGAGCUAGAGUAUGUGAGAGGGGGGUAGAAUUCCAAGUGUAGCGGUGAAAUGCGUAGAGAUUUGGAGGAAUACCAGUGGCGAAGGCGGCCCCCUGGCACACUACUGACGCUCAGGUGCGAAAGCGUGGGGAGCAAACAGG